CCUACGGGUGGCUGCAGUAAGGAAUAUUGGUCAAUGGGCGCAAGCCUGAACCAGCCAUGCCGCGUGAAGGAUGACGGCCCUAUGGGUUGUAAACUUCUUUUUUACGGGAAAAAACCACCGGUCGUGAAUCGGUGCUGAUGGUACCGUAAGAAUAAGCAUCGGCUAACUCCGUGCCAGCAGCCGCGGUAAUACGGAGUAUGCAAGCGUUAUCCGGUGACAGUGUGUUUAGGGGGUGCGCAAAGUGAGUAGUGAAAGCCUACAGCUUAACUGUAGAACUGCCAUUGAUACUGUUAUUCUUGAGUGUUGUUGAGGUAGGCGGAAUGUGUCAUGUAGCGGUGAAAUGCUUAGAUAUGACACAGAACACCGAUCGCGAAGGCAGCUUACCAAGCAACAACUGACGCUCAUGCACGAAAGCGUGGGGAUCAAACAGGAUUAGAUACCCUAGUAGUC
rnacentral:rRNA from 1 species